rnacentral:rRNA from 1 species
UAACACAUGCAAGUCGAACGCGAAAGUGGAGCAAUCCAUGAGUAGAGUGGCGAACGGGUGAGUAACGCGUGGGUGACCUACCUUCGAAUGGGGGAUAACGCCCCGAAAGGGACGCUAAUACCGCAUAACAUCCUGCCUUUGAACAGGUGGAGAUCAAAGCCGGGGAUCGCAAGACCUGGCGUUUGGAGAGGGGCCCGCGUCUGAUUAGCUAGUUGGUGAGGUAGCGGCCCACCAAGGCGACGAUCAGUAUCCGGCCUGAGAGGGCGGACGGACACACUGGGACUGAGACACGGCCCAGACUCCUACGGGAGGCAGCAGUGGGGAAUCGUUCGCAAUGGGCGCAAGCCUGACGACGCAACGCCGCGUGGAGGAUGAAGGUCUUCGGAUUGUAAACUCCUGUUGCCAGGGACGAAAAGCUCCGACCUAACACGUCGGAGUCUGACGGUACCUGGUGAGGAAGCCCCGGCUAACUCUGUGCCAGCAGCCCGCGGUAAUACAGAGGGGGCUAGCGUUGUUCGGAAUUACUGGGCGUAAAGGGCGCGUAGGCGGCCCGCUAAGUCGAACGUGAAAUCCCCGGGCUCAACCCGGGAACUGCGUCCGAUACUGCAGGCUUGAAUCC